rnacentral:rRNA from 1 species
GAUGAACGCUGGCGGCGUGCCUAAUACAUGCAAGUCGAGCGAACGGACGAGAAGCUUGCUUCUCUGAUGUUAGCGGCGGACGGGUGUGUAACACGUGGAUAACCUACCUAUCAGUCUGGGAUAACUUCGGGACACCGGCGCUAAUACCGGAUAAUAUUUUGAACCGCAUGGUUCAAAAGUGAAAGACGGUCUUGCUGUCACUUAUAGAUGGAUCCGCGCUGCAUUAGCUAGUUGGUAAGGUAACGGCUUACCAAGGCAACGAUGCAUAGCCGACGGGAGAGGGUGAUCGGCCACACUGGAACUGAGACACGGUCCAGACUCCUACGGGAGGCAGCAGUAGGGAAUCUGCCGCAAUGGGCGAAAGCAUGACGGAGCAACGCCGCGUGAGUGAUGAAGGUCUUCGGAUCGUAAAACUCUGUUAUUAGGGAAGAACAUAUGUGUAAGUAACUGUGCACAUCUUGACGGUACCUAAUCAGAAAGCCACGGCUAACUACGUG